CAGUAGCCACGGUAAUACGAAGGGUGCAAGCGUUACUCGGAAUUACUGGGCGUAAAGCGUGCGUAGGUGGUGGUUUAAGUCCGUUGUGAAAGCCCUGGGCUCAACCUGGGAAUUGCAGUGGAUACUGGGUCACUAGAGUGUGGUAGAGGAUAGUGGAAUUUCCGGUGUAGCAGUGAAAUGCGUAGAGAUCGGAAGGAACAUCUGUGGCGAAGGCGACUAUCUGGGCCAACACUGACACUGAGGCACGAAAGCGUGGGGAGCAAACAGGAUUAGAUACCCGCGUAGUCCAUGUCUCUUAUAC
rnacentral:rRNA from 1 species